AAAUCGGACCGCUACCGGCGCUAGGAUCCGGGUCGACUUAAGGCCGCCGGGACCCGUAGCAAGCCUAACAUAAUACCUGUAAACCUGUAUAAUCCCAUACAUGAUCAACAAUAAGCAUAAAAAUUAAAACUUUCUUUACAUAUUCAUCAACCAAACUCAACCUGUGCAUAACAUUAACAUAACAUUGAUCCCUCUGUGGGAUCUCAUCUGUGCCCUCAAGGGGUAACAUAACCUGUGUUGAGCUGGUUUACAUAAACAUCAUCAAAAUCUCUAGAUCAUGUAUAAAAGGGAUACAACAAUCUAUGGUCAAGCACAUACUAACAUCCA
rnacentral:lncRNA from 1 species